CAACCCUCAAGCUCUGCUUGGCGUUGGGGCUAUACGGCGAGAUUUUUCUCACCGUAGGCUCUCAAAACUAGUUGGCGGGACCGCUAGGAGGCCCGGGCGAAGUAACCACUACAGCGCCUAGGGAAUCCGAGCGAGGCUCUAGCCACGAACCAGAGGCUGCCUACGGGCACCUCAUCCCAACGUG
rnacentral:misc_RNA from 1 species